CAAAUACUCCCUCCGUCCAGAAUUACUUGUCGCAGAAAUAGAUGUAUCUGUACAUCCAUUUCUGCGACAAGUAAUUCUGGAUGGAGGGAGUAUAAG
rfam:Hordeum vulgare subsp. vulgare, WGS project CAJW01000000 data, contig: morex_contig_50055